AGUGAACGCUGGCGGUAGGCCUAACACAUGCAAGUCGAACGGCAGCACAGUAAGAGCUUGCUCUUACGGGUGGCGAGUGGCGGACGGGUGAGGAAUACAUCGGAAUCUACUUUUUCGUGGGGGAUAACGUAGGGAAACUUACGCUAAUACCGCAUACGACCUACGGGUGAAAGCAGGGGAUCUGGACCUUGCGCGAUUGAAUGAGCCGAUGUCGGAUUAGCUAGUUGGCGGGGUAAAGGCCCACCAAGGCGACGAUCCGUAGCUGGUCUGAGAGGAUGAUCAGCCACACUGGAACUGAGACACGGUCCAGACUCCUACGGGAGGCAGCAGUGGGGAAUAUUGGACAAUGGGCGCAAGCCUGAUCCAGCCAUACCGCGUGGGUGAAGAAGGCCUUCGGGUUGUAAAGCCCUUUUGUUGGGAAAGAAAAGCAGCAGGUUAAUACCCCGCUGUUCUGACGGUACCCAAAGAAUAAGCACCGGCUAACUUCGU
rnacentral:rRNA from 1 species